AUUGAACGCUGGCGGCAGGCCUAACACAUGCAAGUCGAGCGGAUGAAGGGAGCUUGCUCCUGGAUUCAGCGGCGGACGGGUGAGUAAUGCCUAGGAAUCUGCCUGGUAGUGGGGGAUAACGUCCGGAAACGGGCGCUAAUACCGCAUACGUCCUGAGGGAGAAAGUGGGGGAUCUUCGGACCUCACGCUAUCAGAUGAGCCUAGGUCGGAUUAGCUAGUUGGUGGGGUAAGGGCCUACCAAGGCGACGAUCCGUAACUGGUCUGAGAGGAUGAUCAGCCACACUGGAACUGAGACACGGUCCAGACUCCUACGGGAGGCAGCAGAGGGGAAUAUUGGACAAUGGGCGAAAGCCUGAUCCAGCCAUGCCGCGUGUGUGAAGAAGGUCUUCGGAUUGUAAAGCACUUUAAGUUGGGAGGAAGGGCAGUAAGUUAAUACCUUGCUGUUUUGACGGUACCAACAGAAUAAGCUCCGGCUAACUUCGUG
rnacentral:rRNA from 1 species